rfam:Scleropages formosus scaffold22628, whole genome shotgun sequence.
CCUUCGAUGUUGGCUCUUCCUAUCAUUGUGAAGCAGAAUUCACAGAGUGUUGGAUUGUUCACCCACUAAUAGGGAACUUGAGUUGGGUUUAGACCAUCGUGAGACAGGUU